rnacentral:tRNA from 1 species
AGUGCAAUAGAGAGAAGUUGGUCAACCAAAAGGUCGAGCAAGGGAUUAACCGAGAGGUUAAAGAGUAGAAGUCUUUCAAACUAUUGCCUAGGCGAGGUAAAAGGCAAGGGCUAUUAGCUCAGCUGGUUAGAGCGCACCCCUGAUAAGGGUGAGGUCUCUGGUUCAAGUCCAGAAUGGCCCACCUAACCAAAAAAGCCAAAGAGAAGGAUAAAUCCUUCAGCAUCCUGUCUGAUGAGAGUCAGAGGGAAUGCUGGAUGUAAGUCCAGUAAGGACCUUGAAAACUGCAUAAAGAAAAGAGAAAGCAGGGAAAAUCUUGCUUUUCCUAACCGUUUUGAUGUUAACCACAAGGCUUUUGGCUGAGUGUGAGACUGAAGGGCGGUGAAGGUAGGAGGAAAGAUGAUCCUAGUUAGCAAAAAGAAGAUCUUAAAAAGGUCAAGCUACAAAGGGCUAACGGUGGAUACCUAG